AUUGAACGCUGGCGGCAGGCUUAACACAUGCAAGUCGAGCGGAGAUGAGGUGCUUGCACCUUAUCUUAGCGGCGGACGGGUGAGUAAUGCUUAGGAAUCUGCCUAUUAGUGGGGGACAACAUUCCGAAAGGAAUGCUAAUACCGCAUACGUCCUACGGGAGAAAGCAGGGGAUCUUCGGACCUUGCGCUAAUAGAUGAGCCUAAGUCGGAUUAGCUAGUUGGGGGGGUAAAGGCCUACCAAGGCGACGAUCUGUAGCGGGUCUGAGAGGAUGAUCCGCCACACUGGGACUGAGACACGGCCCAGACUGCUACGGGAGGCAGCAGUGGGGAAUAUUGGAGAAUGGGGGGAACCCUGAUCCAGCCAUGCCGCGUGUGUGAAGAAGGCCUUAUGGUUGUAAAGCACUUUAAGCGAGGAGGAGGCUACUGAGACUAAUACUCUUGGAUAGUGGACGUUACUCGCAGAAUAAGCACCGGCUAACUCUGUGCCAGCCGCCGCGGUAA
rnacentral:rRNA from 1 species